CUACAGGCUUAACACAUGCAAGUCGAGGGGCAGCAUGGUCUUAGCUUGCUAAGGCCGAUGGCGACCGGCGCACGGGUGAGUAACACGUAUCCAACCUGCCGUCUACUCUUGGACAGCCUUCUGAAAGGAAGAUUAAUACAAGAUGGCAUCAUGAGUCCGCAUGUUCACAUGAUUAAAGGUAUUCCGGUAGACGAUGGGGAUGCGUUCCAUUAGAUAGUAGGCGGGGUAACGGCCCACCUAGUCUUCGAUGGAUAGGGGUUCUGAGAGGAAGGUCCCCCACAUUGGAACUGAGACACGGUCCAAACUCCUACGGGAGGCAGCAGUGAGGAAUAUUGGUCAAUGGGCGCAGGCCUGAACCAGCCAAGUAGCGUGAAGGAUGACUGCCCUAUGGGUUGUAAACUUCUUUUAUAAAGGAAUAAAGUCGGGUAUGGAUACCCGUUUGCAUGUACUUUAUGAAUAAGGAUCGGCUAACUCCGUGCCAGCAGCCGCGGUAAUACGGAGGAUCCGAGCGUUAUCCGGAUUUAUUGGGUUUAAAGGGAGCGUAGAUGGAUGUUUAAGUCAGUUGUGAAAGUUUGCGGCUCAACCGUAAAAUUGCAGUUGAUACUGGAUAUCUUGAGUGCAGUUGAGGCAGGCGGAAUUCGUGGUGUAGCGGUGAAAUGCUUAGAUAUCACGAAGAACUCCGAUUGCGAAGGCAGCCUGCUAAGCUGCAACUGACAUUGAGGCUCGAAAGUGUGGGUAUCAAACAGGAUUAGAUACCCUGGUAGUCCACACGGUAAACGAUGAAUACUCGCUGUUUGCGAUAUACUGCAAGCGGCCAAGCGAAAGCGUUAAGUAUUCCACCUGGGGAGUACGCCGGCAACGGUGAAACUCAAAGGAAUUGACGGGGGCCCGCACAAGCGGAGGAACAUGUGGUUUAAUUCGAUGAUACGCGAGGAACCUUACCCGGGCUUAAAUUGCAGAUGAAUUACGGUGAAAGCCGUAAGCCGCAAGGCAUCUGUGAAGGUGCUGCAUGGUUGUCGUCAGCUCGUGCCGUGAGGUGUCGGCUUAAGUGCCAUAACGAGCGCAACCCUUGUUGUCAGUUACUAACAGGUUCCGCUGAGGACUCUGACAAGACUGCCAUCGUAAGAUGUGAGGAAGGUGGGGAUGACGUCAAAUCAGCACGGCCCUUACGUCCGGGGCUACACACGUGUUACAAUGGGGGGUACAGAGGGCCGCUACCACGCGAGUGGAUGCCAAUCCCAAAAACCUCUCUCAGUUCGGACUGGAGUCUGCAACCCGACUCCACGAAGCUGGAUUCGCUAGUAAUCGCGCAUCAGCCACGGCGCGGUGAAUACGUUCCCGGGCCUUGUACACACCGCCCGUCAAGCCAUGGGAGCCGGGGGUACCUGAAGUGCGUAACCGCGAGGAGCGCCCUAGGGUAAAACUGGUGACUGGGGCU
rnacentral:rRNA from 1 species